GGCUUUGUAGUGGAAAUUUCAAAGACACUAGACUGCAAUUCUGGAGAUGUAAUAGUAUUACCUAAGCUU
rnacentral:tRNA from 1 species